rnacentral:rRNA from 1 species
AGAGGGUGCAAGCGUUAAUCGGAAUGACUGGGCGUAAAGGGCGCGUAGGUGGUUACUUAAGUUAGAUGUGAAAGCCCCGGGCUUAACCUGGGAACUGCAUCUAAUACUGAGUAGCUUGAGUAGAAUAGAGGGGAGUGGAAUUUCCGGUGUAGCGGUGGAAUGCGUAGAUAUCGGAAGGAACACCAGUGGCGAAGGCGGCUCCCUGGAUUCAUACUGACACUGAGGCGCGAAAGCGUGGGGAGCAAACAGGAUUAGAUACCCUGGUAGUCCACGCUGUAAACGAUGAGAACUAGAUGUUAGGAGGGUUACCUCUUAGUAUCGCAGCUAACGCACUAAGUUCUCCGCCUGGGGAGUACGGUCGCAAGAUUA